rnacentral:rRNA from 1 species
UUAAGUUACUAAGGGUGUAUGGUGGAUGUUUAGGCGCCAAGAAGCGAAGAAGGACGCAAUAGACUGCGAAAAGCCUCGGCGAGCUGUCAAUAAGCUGUGACCCGGGGGUAUCCGAAUGGGGUAACCCGCCAAGCAGAAGGCUUGGUAUCUGUGUCUGAACACAUAGGACAUGGAAGCGAACGGGGUGAAUUGAAACAUCUUAGUAACCCCAGGAAAAGAAAGAAAACUCGACUACCUGAGUAGCGGCGAGCGAAAUGGUAAGAGCCCAAACCUGAUGUACGUAAUAGCCUCUAAGCGUUGUAUAUUGGGGGUAGCGGGAGUUCUCAUUGUUAGGUUAGAGACUAGCAGAAGAGUUACAAAAGAUAUAUCUAGCUGAAUACUUUUGGAAAAAGUAGCGAGACAAGGUGAAAGCCCUGUAGGCGAAAGGUAUAUCACUCUUAGAGAGCCACCCAAGUAGCACCGGACACGAGAAACCCGGUGUGAAUCAGGGAAGACCACUUCCUAAGGCUAAGUAUUCCUUGGCGACCGAUAGUGAACAAGUAAGGCGACUGAAAAAUGAAAAGUACCCCGUUGAGGGGAGUGAAAUAGUACCUGAAACCAUACACUUACAAGCUGUAGGAGCACGAUGGUGAUGCUAAUUUGUGGAACUACCAUAAGGUAGGGAAGCAAGGCGUGGAAAGUAUCUGAGGAUACCGGAAGCGAAUAUUACCGUGUGUGACUGCGUGCCUUUUGCAUAAUGAUCCGGCGAGUUACUGUAUGCAGCAAGGUUAAACGUUUCAGACGUGGAGCCAAAGCGAAAGCGAGUGUUAAUAGCGCGUUAAGUUGUAUGUAGUAGACCCGAAAGCCAGUGAUCUAACCAUGGCCAGGGUGAAGCGAGUUUAAUAGCCCGUGGAGGCCCGAACGCACUUAUGUUGAAAAAUGAGGCGAUGAGCUGUGGUUAGGAGUAAAAGUCUAAUCAAACUGGCCAAUAUCUGGUUCUCUCCGAAAUAGCUUUCGGGCUAGCCUUUUGCGUUAGCAUACGGGGGUAGAGAUACUGAAUGAAUCGGUGGGGCCUUCCCGGCUACCCCAUUCAACCAAACUCCGAAUACCGUGUGUGUAGAGCAAGGGAGUCAGACUGUGGGGGAUAAGCUUCAUGGUCAAGAGGGAAACAGCCCAGACCGCUAGCUAAGGUCCCGAAAUCAUACUAAGUUAAAAGGAAGUGAGAAUGCUAAGACAGCUAGGAUGUUGGCUUAGAAGCAGCCACCAUUUAAAAAGUGCGUAAUAGCUUACUAGUCGAGCAUUUUUGCGCCGAAAAUAUAAGGGAUUAAGUAUGAUACCGAAGCUGCGGAUGUUAUUAUUGCUACGGUGAUAAUAGCGUGGUAGGAGAGCGUUCCAUUUAAGGAAGAAGACAGAUCGUAAGGACUGUUGGACGAAAUGGAAGUGAUUAUGCCGGAACGAGUAACGAUAAAAUAAGUGAAAAUCUUAUUCGCCGAAAACCUAAGGUUUCCUGGGGAAGGUAAAUCCGCCCAGGGUUAGUCGGUCCCUAAGACGAGGUCGAAAGGCGUAGUCGAUGGAAAGCAGGUUAAUAUUCCUGCACUGCCGAUAAUAUGUUGGAGCAAUCCUGAAACCACGGAGGGACGGAGAAGGUUAGGUCAACCCUGUGACUGGUAGAGCAGGGCCAAGCCAGUAGAAGGGGCUGCUAGGAAAAUCCGGUAGCCUGUAUAACUUCGAGAGGUGAUGGGGGAGCGUAAGCUCAGAAGUGAUCAACACCAAGCUUCCAAGAAAAGCUUCGUAAGGUGAGUAUUAUAGGUAGCCGUACUAAAACUGACACAGGUAGGUAGGGUGAGAAUCCUAAGGCGCUCGAGAGAACCUCCGUUAAGGAACUCGGCAAAUUGACCCCGUAACUUCGGGAGAAGGGGUGCCUCUGAAAGUGAAACGAUUAACUCGUGAAGCAUUCGGAGGCCGCAGAAAAAUGGCCCGGGCGACUGUUUACUAAAAACACAGGACUCUGCCAAGACGUAAAGUCGAUGUAUAGAGUCUGACGCCUGCUCAGUGCCGGAAGGUUAAGGGGAAGGGUUAGCUUAGGCGAAGCUCUGAACUAAAGCCCCGGUUAACGGCGGCCGUAACUAUGACGGUCCUAAGGUAGCGAAGUUCCUUGUCGGGUAAGUUCCGACCUGCACGAAUGGCGUAACGACUUGGGCACUGUCUCAACGGAGGACUCGGUGAAACUGUAGCAGCGGUGAAGAUGCCGCUUACCCGCAGCAAGACGGAAAGACCCCGUGAACCUUUACUAUAGCAUGGUAUUGGGUUUCGGUAUAACUUGUGUAGGAUAGGUGGGAGGCGAAGAACGGGAGACGUUAGUCUUUCGGGAGCCGUCGGUGAAAUACCACCCUUGUUAUGCUGGAAUUCUAACCCGUAUCCGUAAUCCGGUACGGGGACAGUGCUUUGUGGGUAGUUUGGCUGGGGCGGUCUCCUCCCAAAGAGUAACGGAGGAGCCCAAUGGUAUCCUCAGUACGGUUGGCAAUCGUACGUAGAGCGCAAAAGUAUAAGGAUACUUGACUGCGAGACCUAUAGGUCGAGCAGGUGUGAAAGCAGGGUUUAGUGAUCCGGUGAUCCCGUGUGGAAGGGUCAUCGCUCAACAGAUAAAAGGUACUCCGGGGAUAACAGGCUUAUCGCCUCCAAGAGUUCAUAUCGACGAGGCGGUUUGGCACCUCGAUGUCGGCUCAUCACAUCCUGGGGCUGGAGAAGGUCCCAAGGGUUCGGCUGUUCGCCGAUUAAAGUGGUACGCGAGCUGGGUUUAGACCGUCGUGAGACAGGUCGGUCCCUAUCUGCUGUGGGUGUAGGAAACUUGAAGAAAUUUGCCCCUAGUACGAGAGGAUUGGGGUGGACGAGCCUCUGGUGUACCAGUUGUCGUGCCAACGGCACAGCUGGGUAGCUACGCUCGGACAGGAUAAGCGCUGAAAGCAUAUAAGCGCGAAGCCUAUUCUAAAACUAGGUUUCCCUGAAGGGUCCAAGAAGACGACUUGGUUGAUAGGCUGGGUGUGUAAGUGCAGUAAUGUAUUUAGCUAACCAGUACUAAUAACCCGUUUGACUUAAG